UCCUGGCUCAGAGUGAACGCUGGCGGCAGGCCUAAUACAUGCAAGUCGAACGGCAGCACAGCAGAGCUUGCUCUGUGGGUGGCGAGUGGCGGACGGGUGAGGAAUACAUGGGAAUCUGCCCAGUCGUGGGGGAUAACGUAGGGAAACUUACGCUAAUACCGCAUGCGCCCUUCGGGGGAAAGCCGGGGACCUUCGGGCCUGGCGCGAUUGGAUGAGCCCAUGUCGGAUUAGCUAGUUGGCGGGGUAAUGGCCCACCAAGGCGACGAUCCGUAGCUGGUCUGAGAGGAUGAUCAGCCACACUGGAACUGAGACACGGUCCAGACUCCUACGGGAGGCAGCAGUAGGGAAUAUUGGACAAUGGGCGCAAGCCUGAUCCAGCCAUGCCGCGUGAGUGAAGAAGGCCCUCGGGUUGUAAAGCUCUUUUGUCCGGAAAGAAAAGCGCCGGGUUAAUACCCUGGUGUCCUGACGGUACCGGAAGAAUAAGCACCGGCUAACUUCGUG
rnacentral:rRNA from 1 species